AACGAACGCUGGCGGCAUGCCUAACACAUGCAAGUCGAACGAGACCUUCGGGUCUAGUGGCGCACGGGUGCGUAACGCGUGGGAACCUGCCCUUAGGUUCGGAAUAACUCCCCGAAAGGGGUGCUAAUACCGGAUAAUGUCUUCGGACCAAAGAUUUAUCGCCUUUGGAUGGGCCCGCGUUGGAUUAGCUAGUUGGUAGGGUAAAAGCCUGCCAAGGCGACGAUCCAUAGCUGGUCUGAGAGGAUGAUCAGCCACACUGGGACUGAGACACGGCCCAGACUCCUACGGGAUGCAGCAGUGGGGAAUAUUGGACAAUGGGCGAAGGCCUGAUCCAGCAAUGCCGCGUGAGUGAUGAAGGCCUUAGGGUUGUAAAGCUCUUUUACCCGGGAUGAUAAUGACAGUACCGGGAGAAUAAGCUCCGGCUAACUCCGUG
rnacentral:rRNA from 1 species